CACGUAGGGCGCGAGCGUUGUCCGGAAUUAUUGGGCGUAAAGAGCUCGUAGGCGGCCUGUUGCGUCCGCUGUGAAAGCCCGGGGCUUAACCCCGGGUCGGCAGUGGAUACGGGCAGGCUAGAGGUAGGUAGGGGAGAAUGGAAUUCCCGGUGUAGCGGUGAAAUGCGCAGAUAUCGGGAGGAACACCGGUGGCGAAGGCGGUUCUCUGGGCCAACAUUGACGCUCAGACCCGAAAGCGUGGGGAGCGAACAGG
rnacentral:rRNA from 1 species